AUGCAUUCGGGGAAAGCCCUUAUCGUGACAUU
rnacentral:scRNA from 1 species